UACGGAGGAUCCAAGCGUUAUCCGGAAUCAUUGGGGUUAAAGGGUCCGUAGGCGGUUUAAUAAGUCAGUGGUGAAAUCUGGUCGCUCAACGAUCAAACGGCCAUUGAUACUGUUAGACUUGAAUUAUUGGGAAGUAACCAGAAUAUGUAGUGUAGCGGUGAAAUGCUUAGAUAUUACAUGGAAUACCAAUUGCGAAGGCAGGUUACUACCAAUGGAUUGACGCUGAUGGACGAAAGCGUGGGGAGCGAACAGG
rnacentral:rRNA from 1 species